GACGAACGCUGGCGGCGUGCUUAACACAUGCAAGUCGAACGGAAAGGCCCUGCUUGCAGGGUGCUCGAGUGGCGAACGGGUGAGUAACACGUGGGUGAUCUGCCCCUUACUUUGGGAUAAGCCUGGGAAACUGGGUCUAAUACUGGAUAGGACCAUGCUGUAGGUGGUGUGGUGGAAAGAUUAGUUUCGGUAAGGGAUGAGCUCGCGGCCUAUCAGCUUGUUGGUGGGGUAAUGGCCUACCAAGGCGUCGACGGGUAGCCGACCUGAGAGGGUGGACGGCCACAUUGGGACUGAGAUACGGCCCAGACUCCUACGGGAGGCAGCAGUGGGGAAUAUUGCACAAUGGGCGCAAGCCUGAUGCAGCGACGCCGCGUGGGGGAUGACGGCCUUCGGGUUGUAAACUCCUUUCAGCCAUGACGAAGCCCUUGUGGUGACGGUAGUGGUAGAAGAAGCACCGGCUAACUACGUG
rnacentral:rRNA from 1 species